rnacentral:rRNA from 1 species
CAGAUUGAACGCUGGCGGCAGGCUUAACACAUGCAAGUCGAGCGGAGAUGAGGUGCUUGCACCUUAUCUUAGCGGCGGACGGGUGAGUAAUGCUUAGGAAUCUGCCUAUUAGUGGGGGACAACAUUCCGAAAGGAAUGCUAAUACCGCAUACGUCCUACGGGAGAAAGCAGGGGAUCUUCGGACCUUGCGCUAAUAGAUGAGCCUAAGUCGGAUUAGCUAGUUGGUGGGGUAAAGGCCUACCAAGGCGACGAUCUGUAGCGGGUCUGAGAGGAUGAUCCGCCACACUGGGACUGAGACACGGCCCAGACUCCUACGGGAGGCAGCAGUGGGGAAUAUUGGACAAUGGGGGGAACCCUGAUCCAGCCAUGCCGCGUGUGUGAAGAAGGCCUUAUGGUUGUAAAGCACUUUAAGCGAGGAGGAGGCUACUGAGACUAAUACUCUUGGAUAGUGGACGUUACUCGCAGAAUAAGCACCGGCUAACUCUGUGCCAGCAGCCGCGGUAAUACAGAGGGUGCGAGCGUUAAUCGGAUUUACUGGGCGUAAAGCGUGCGUAGGCGGCUUUUUAAGUCGGAUGUGAAAUCCCCGAGCUUAACUUGGGAAUUGCAUUCGAUACUGGGAAGCUAGAGUAUGGGAGAGGAUGGUAGAAUUCCAGGUGUAGCGGUGAAAUGCGUAGAGAUCUGGAGGAAUACCGAUGGCGAAGGCAGCCAUCUGGCCUAAUACUGACGCUGAGGUACGAAAGCAUGGGGAGCAAACAGGAUUAGAUACCCUGGUAGUCCAUGCCGUAAACGAUGUCUACUAGCCGUUGGGGCCUUUGAGGCUUUAGUGGCGCAGCUAACGCGAUAAGUAGACCGCCUGGGGAGUACGGUCGCAAGACUAAAACUCAAAUGAAUUGACGGGGGCCCGCACAAGCGGUGGAGCAUGUGGUUUAAUUCGAUGCAACGCGAAGAACCUUACCUGGCCUUGACAUACUAGAAACUUUCCAGAGAUGGAUUGGUGCCUUCGGGAAUCUAGAUACAGGUGCUGCAUGGCUGUC